rnacentral:tRNA from 1 species
GGGCUGGUAGGUCAGUCCGGUAGACCGCGUGCAUAUUUAUCAGCACAAGGCAUGCAUGAAGUCGUGGGUUCAAAUCCCACCCAGUCCA